AAAUGUCUGACCGUGAUAAUUUAGAGAGUGAAAGUGAUCACCCUCGUGCAAAGAAAGCAAAAUCACACUAUGACACACUAUCAAGUCAUCACUAAAGGGAUUUUGUAUGGUGCUGGCAUUAUCGUUGAUUGAUUUUAGAUGAGCCGUUAUCAAGUUAUUAUUUACAUCAGCGACUUACCAACUUUUGGAGAAACUCCGUUCACUCGCUGUUUAUUCAUAUAAAAAAUAUAAAAAAAAAAUAAAGUUACUUAGAUAUUUUUUGUGUUAUUCAAGAGUGUAUGUGUUGAGUUGAAUAAAGUUUAUAUAAAUAUCUUUUAUAAGGUAAAAGCCCCAAUAGAUGAUCAUGUACCAGUAUAUGAUCACUCCAUGUAU